UUUGAUUUUCUUCGGAACUGAAGAUUUGGUGAUUGAGUGGCGGACGGGUGAGUAACGCGUGGGUAACCUACCCUGUACAGGGGGAUAACAGUCAGAAAUGACUGCUAAUACCGCAUAAGCGCACAGUACCGCAUGGUACGGUGUGAAAAACCCAGGUGGUGUGAGAUGGAUCCGCGUCUGAUUAGCCAGUUGGCGGGGUAACGGCCCACCAAAGCGACGAUCAGUAGCCGACCUGAGAGGGUGACCGGCCACAUUGGGACUGAGACGCGGCCCAAACUCC
rnacentral:rRNA from 1 species